GCGCGAGUAAUUUCGCGUGGAGGACCGAACCCACUUAGGUUGAAAACUGAGGGGAUGACUUGUGGGGAGGAGUGAAAGUCUAAUCAAACCUGGAGAUAGCUCGUUCUCUGCGAAAUAUCUUUUGGGAUAGCGUCAGGUAAACUAUGACAUGGGGGUAGAGAUACUGAAUUGGAUGGGGGCCCUUCCCGGGGUACCCCACUGAACCAAACUCCGAAUACCAUGUUAAUUACCCUGGCAGUCAGUCCGUGUGGGAUAAGCUGCACGGUCGAAAGGGAAACAACCCAGACCAUCGUCUAAGGUCCCCAAGUAUUGCUAAGUCACUAAGGAGGUUAAUCUGCUGUGACAGCCAGGAUGUUGGCUUAGAAGCAGCCACCAUUUAAAAAGUGCGUAACAGCUUACUGGUCGAGCAGAUUUGCGCCGAUAAUGAACGGGAGUAAGCAAUACACCGAAGACAUGGAUGUAGGAUUUAUUUCCUACGUGGUAGCAGAGCGCUGUACAGGAGAUACAAGCCCCACAGUAAUGAGGGGUCACGGCCUGUACAGGUGAUUAUGCCGGAAUGAGUAACGAUAAAACAGGUGAGAAUCCUGUUCGCCGAAAGCGUAAGGUUUCCUGGGGAAGGUAAAUCCGCCCAGGGUUAGGCGAAACCUUAGUCGAGGCCGAAAGGCGUAGACGAUGGAUAGCGGGUUAAUAUUCCCGCCCCAACUUGUGGAGCGAUGGAGGGACGGCAACCAGAAUGCACGCGGACGGUUAGAAAUGUCCGUGGAGGUCACUGAGAUGGAGAGAUUGGAAAAUCCGCUCUCAUAAUUCAAGGUGAUCGACCAACUGCCUUGAGCGGGAUUGUGUUGGAAGGUUGUCCAAGAAAAGCUUCUAAGCAUUGAAACAAGUUGUUCGUACUAAAACUGACACAGGUACGCGGGUCGAGUAGACUAAGGCGCUCGGGAGAACGGUGGUUAAGGAACUCUGCAAAAUGGCCCCGUAAGUUCGCGAUAAGGGGUGCCCCUGACGGUUCACGCUGUUGGGGGCCACAGUAAAUCGGCUCCUUCGACUGUUUAUCAAAAACACAGGUCUCUGCGAACACGUAAGUGGAUGUAUAGAGACUGACGCCUGCCCGGUGUUGGUAGGUUAAGGAAGACGGUUAGCCCUCGGGUGAAGCUGGCGACCGAAGCCCCAAUAAACGGCGGCCGUAACUAUGACGGUCCUAAGGUAGCGAAGUUCCUUGUCGGGUAAGUUCCGACCUGCAUGAAAGGCGUAACGAGAGGAGCACUGUCUCAACCACCGACCCGGUGAAAUUGUAGUCGUGGUGAAGAUGCCACGUACCCGCGGUUAGACGGAAAGACCCCGUGAACCUUUACUGUAGGCAGAUAUUGGGCUGAGUUAUGUUUUGUGUAGGAUAGGUGGGAGACUUUGAUCUGUGCACGCCAGUGUACAGGGAGUCGUCCUUGAAAUACCACCCUGAAUAUGGUUUAGUUCUAACUCUGACCCUUGAAUCAGGGCAGAGGACAGUUUCUGUUGGGCAGUUUGACUGGGGCGGUCUCCUCCCAAAGAGUAACGGAGGAGUUCAAAGGUACACUCAGCUUGGUUGGCAAUCAAGCGUCGAGCGCAAAGGUAGAAGUGUGCUUAACUGCGAGAGUCAUCACUCGAGCAGAUACGAAAGUAGGACUUAGUGAUCCUGUGGUUUCCGAAUGGAAGGGCCAUAGCUCAUCAGAUAAAAGGUACUCCGGGGAUAACAGGCUUAUCGCAUCCGAGCGUCCAUAGCGGCGAUGCGGUUUGGCACCUCGAUGUCGGCUCAUCACAUCCUGGGGGUGAAGAAGCUCCCAAGGGUUUGGCUGUUCGCCAAUGAAAGUGGUACGUGAGCUGGGUUCAGACCGUCGUGAGACAGGUCGGUCCCUAUCUGCCGUGGGCGUACGAAACUUGAGGAGGUUCUUCUUUAGUACGAGAGGAUUUGGAAGGACGAAUCUCUGGUGUUCCAGUUGUCACGCUAGUGGCACGGCUGGAUAGCUAUAUUCGGAAAAGAUAAACGCUGAAAGCAUCUAAGCGUGAAGCUCUCUCCAAGAUUAGGUUUCGUAGCAGUUUACUGCGAGAGUCCCCUAGAAGACUACUAGGUUGAUAGGUCGUAAGUGUAAGUGCAGUAAUGCAUUCAGCUAAACGAUACUAACGGACGAAAGCUUGACCAC
rnacentral:rRNA from 1 species